GACGAACGCUGGCGGCGUGCUUAAUACAUGCAAGUAGGACGCAGUUGCGAACGGGUGAUUAACGCGUCUGUAACUACCUAUUAGAGGGGGCUAACUAUUGUAAAUGAUAGCUAAUACCGCAUACUAGUAGAUUUAUCUUCGUUGUAUUUGCUUGUAGGUCGGGGAAAGGCCUACCUAGGCAAUGAUACAUAGCCGACCUGAGAGGGUGAUCGACCAAACUGGGACUGAGACACGGCCCAGACUCCUAAGGGAGGCAGCAGUAGGGAAUCUUCGGCAAUGGGGGGAAACCUGACCGAGCAACGCCGCGUGAGUGAAGAAGGUUUUCGGGUCGUAAAGCUCUGUUGUUAAGGAAGCGGUACUUAACCAGAAAGGGACGGCUAACUACGUGCCAGCAGCCGCGGUAAUAC
rnacentral:rRNA from 1 species